ensembl:lncRNA
AUGGGUAGGUUUAGGGCUGGAGAAUGGAUCCAGGGGGUGGAGAUGGGUAGGUUUAGGGGUGGAGAUGGGAUCCAAGGGGUGGAGAUGGUUAGGUUAAGAGGUGGAGAUGGGAUCCAAGGGGUGGAGAUGGGUAGGUUUAGGGGUGGAGAUGGGUUCCAGGGGUUGGAGAUGGGUAGGGUUAGGGUGGAGAUGGGUAGGUUUAGGGGUGGAGAUGGGAUCCAGGGGUGGAAAUGGUUAGGUAUAGGGAUAUGUAAUGUGGGAGGAGUUGGAUCUCGAGUUGGAGUUGGUGCACGACUGUAAUACCAGUCUACCUUCAUGCUAACUCCUCAGGAACUGUCCACUUAAUAUAAAGUGUAACAUUCUGCACACCAACCACAAUUUAUUUGCAUAGCCUAACUUAAUGGCCACUGCUGUGUAACAUCACAGCAGUCUAAUAUAAAGCGUAACACUUUCUUUAUCAAAAAGUGCUGUUAGUCCUGUUACACAUUUGUACUUACACAUACCAUUCAGUGGCUUGUUACAUAUGCGUAAUUACACAAACAUUAGGGCUGUAGAUACUAUGUACCAAUGUGUACUUACACUGUGCUUACAUACUAUGUACACAUCUAGUUACUAUGUAAGUGCACAGGUAUUAGGAACAAUAUAAAUUGGGACCAAAAAAAGUCCACAGAAGAUGGUUUUGCCUGAUAUUUCCCUGUUAUUAUUCCUCCAGACCCAUUUCUAUUUCCAAAUGUCAGGCAUGCAUAAACACACUUUGAACUAUCAGUGCAAUAAGCAUUAACUUAAUCAGAACACCCUCCCAGAAGGACAGUCUCCCGGAAAGAAUGGGUUAUAAAGGAAACGACCCUCAAGUAAAAAAUGUAAAUGAUUGUGCUGCUUUUUUGGCAUGAGCAUAGAAAUCUUGUCAAAUGACCUGGGCUCCGUUUCCCAAAGCAUCGUAAGAAAAUCAUAGAAACUGUUUUAUAGUCUAUUUAUGAUCCACAUCAGAUGUGUUAAAUCCAGUUCUACCAGACCGACUUCACCAGGAAUAACUGAUCAUAAAUAUGAAAGCUACCAUUGGCUGUUUGAUGUCAGGCUAAGCUUUAUGAAGCUAACAUGAAGUUUGUCUUGAACCUUUUUAUCUAGUUUUAAAUUGUUGUAUUGCAGCUGUCAUCUAGUUUCACUUAAACACAUAAAAUAGAAGCUGUUUGUCUGUAAAAGAUGCAGAAUUGCAUAUUUAACUUGGAUUUCCCCCUUUUCCCUCAGAAUUCUGAGUUUACAUCCAGCAAUUGUCUUAAGCUUCCGUAUAUAUGUGACAUUCAAAACUGUUAUAUUUACUUUUUUUUUCAAGUCUUAUGGUCAGGUUGUGGGUGACUUGUGACAUGCUGCUCUACUCAAUAAUAGAUUGAUGUGGAAAUGUCAGUUGUUUCCUACCUGUGCUUUUAGUAUUACAGAUGUACAGCAUAAAUUAACUUUAAACACUAAAACUCUUUUAAAUGUACUCAAAAACACAGAUUUUAAGAGCACUGAAUUACAUGACUGAAGUAGUAUUUUCAUGUAAAACAUGCUCCAAUAAACUUUUUUAUAGUGUACUCA